AAAAUCCUCCCAGAAUUAUUCUUUCAUCUUCGUCACCUCACUCUUCUCUGCACACAGCCAAAAGAACACCGAAAUGGAAAAAACAGAAAUGAAAUUAACCGCUGCUAAAUCAAAUAGAAUCCCAAAAUAUUAGCGCCUCCUACAAAAAAUCCAAAAUCCUCUAUAGAUUUCACAUGAAAAGCUGAAGCGAAAUCAAAGUUUUCUGACCAAUUAACCGGUGGAAAUCUCUUGGUGGGUAGCUCAAUUUUGUGCUUAAUCAGUGAUUGAGAUGGUGUGCUUGUUGAAUGGUGGAUUGUCUGACGGGAACCCAAACAAGCGGUCAUUGGAGAGUGGGUAUCACCCUUCGAACUCUGGAAAUGCAUCUAACUACAAGUCCAGGAAGGUUUCAGCUGUUCGGGAUUUUCCUCCUAUGUGUGGUCCAAAUACUCAGCCUCAUUUAGAAGCCAAAGACAAUAGUGCGUUGCAAGUUAGUGAUAUUGCUGUUGGAGAGCCUAAUGGUGUUAAAAUUGAAACUGAGGUCCAGAAUCAACCUCAUGAAAGGAUGAAAAGUCCAGCUAGGGUGGAUGCGAAUGGAAUUGGGACAUCAACUAAUGGCGUUCAUAGUGAAACUAAGGUUGAGACUCAGGCUCAUGAAUUAAUCAAGACUAAAAAUGAGAUGGAAACUGAUCAAUCUGGAAAGCUGUCCAAUUUGGAAGAUCUAGAAAAUGGGGUUUUGGUGAGCAGUGAUAAUGCUCCUGCAGCUUUAGAGGCCAAUUGUGUUAAAGAUGAAAGUCAGGUGGAGACUCAGUCUCAUGAACUGGGAGGGGGUUUAUAUGGGGUGGAAGGGAAUGGAUCUCUGGAUAAGUUGGUGGAAAAAGUGGUGGCUGGCUUUACUGAUAGUUUGGAUGAUGGGGUCAAGAAAAUGGCGUUGGAUGUAAAGCCUGCAGGAAUGGAGUUGAUGAAGGAGGUUGAAAGGAAAACCAUUUUGGUGGGACCCUCAAAGGGAGAGGUAAAUGGAAGGGAGGCUGAGGCAGCAGUGAUGGAAUUGGACAAGAAAGAAAUUACGACUUUGGUGAGGUGCAUAGGUGAAGAUGUAGUAAAACCUACUGUUGAAAUUGAUCACAUGGUUCACAGGGAGGUUUCUAUUAAAGAUGGCUCUGUCCCGAGUCCAAAGAACAAAUUCCGCACAAGAAGAGUUUCAGCUAUUCGUGACUUUCCUCCAUUCUGUGGAAGAAAUGCUCCUGUACCGUCUAUGCAGGAGAGCCUAAAAAUUACUUCUGGGGAGAGUUCGCUGGGGAUGGACAAGGUUAAUAUGGAAAAGAGGAUGAUGGAAGUGUCGAAGGAUGGUGCGGAUAGCAAGGCAUUGAAGGAUGGUGCAGAUAGCAGGACAUCUGUGGAGAUAUUGCCUGCUAAGGUACAAAAGGACACAUUGGAAAAAGUGGAGACUGGUGUUGAAGUCGCUGCUCUAGAAGAACCAAUCACUUUUGGUUGCAAACCAGCAAAAGGAAAUGUUCAGGUUGAUGAUAUCCGGGGAAGUCAAGCAAGAGGAGUGGUGUCUCUGCCCAAGGAUGUUUCUGAUGCUACAAUCCUUAAGGAAGCCGUGGAAGGUCAAGGCUCUAUAAGUAAGGCGCCUGAUCUGUUUGAAGGUGAGAACACCCUUGAUAGAAUGGCUCUGGAUGAUAGCACUGGUUCAGGACAUGAAGAUGAACCUGCAACAGUGACUGGUCUGCAUGCUGCACCAAAUUGUCCUUUGAGGCUGGGUAAAGUGCCCCUAAGUUCUAGUGUUGAAAAAACCCGAGGCAAGGUUAAUGAAGGCAAUUUAACAUGGCGAAGCAAGGCCAAAGCUUUUGCUAAGAAAACCAUUGUCAAUACUGAGUCUUCAGAAAGAUCAUCUCUGAAGAAGGUUGCUGUUUCUGUUCGCAAGGGUGCAGAUGGUAAUUUUGGUGCAAUUGUUAGGGAUGAGGGAAUUUAUAGAUCAGAAGAUGAUAAGUCACCUAAAGGUUCUACUACUGGUUCCAGGGUUGAUGUGAAUUUGCCUCCUUUUGGUCCAAGUUCAAGCAAUGGUGAUGCUCGUAAUAGAGUUAGAGAGACCCUGCGCCUGUUUCAAGCAUUGUGUAGAAAAAUCUUGCAGGGAGAAGAGUCGAGGCCGGAAGAAGAUACAACAUUGAAGCGGCCAGAGAAAACCAGGAGGAUUGAUCUUCUAGCAGCAAAGAUUAUAAAAGAGAAAGGAAAAGAAGUUAAUACUGGCAAACAAUAUUUGGGGGCAGUUCCAGGAGUUGAAGUGGGUGACGAGUUCCAGUACAGAGUGGAGCUUGCCAUUGUUGGGAUUCAUCGUUUAUACCAGGCUGGCAUAGAUUCCAUGAAGCACAAUGGAGUGCUUGUUGCAACUAGUAUUGUUGCAUCAGGGGCAUAUGAUGAUGAUAUGGAGAAUGCUGAUGUCCUAAUAUAUUCUGGGCAAGGAGGAAAUAUAGUUGGCAAAGAUAAGCAACCGGAGGACCAGAAGCUUGAAAAAGGUAACUUGGGAUUGUGGAAUUGUAUCUCCACUAAAAAUCCUGUGCGUGUAAUUCGUGGAUCCAAAGAGACUAAGGCUUCUGAUUCGCUGGACUCAAGGGCUAAGGUAGUCACGUCAUACAUUUAUGAUGGCUUGUAUACUGUGGAGAAGUGUAGGGAAGAAACUGGGACAUAUGGUAAACUAGUGUUUAUGUUUGAAUUGAAGAGAAUCCCAGGCCAGCCGGAGCUUGCAUGGAAAGAGGUAAAGAAGUCCAAAAAAUCUAGAGUGCGGCAGGGGGUUUGCAUUGAUGACAUUGCAGGGGGACAAGAGACAUUUCCCGUAUGUGCUGUGAACACAAUUGACAGUGAGAAACCCCAACAGUUUAAUUACAUUAGAAAGAUGAAAUAUCCUGAUUGGUUCCGCCUAGUUUCUCCUAAAGGCUGUGAUUGUACUGGUAAAUGCUCUGAUUCUCGAAAAUGCUAUUGUGCACAAAGAAAUGGAGGAGGGAUCCCAUAUAAUCGUAAUGGGGCUAUAGUGGAAGCAAAACCUCUUGUCUUUGAAUGUGGACCUCAUUGCAAAUGCCCUCCUACAUGCUAUAACAGAGUCAGCCAGCAUGGUAUCAAAAUUCAGCUUGAGAUCUUCAAGACUAAGUCAAGGGGCUGGGGAGUAAGGUCCUUGUAUUCUAUUCCUUCAGGAAGUUUUAUUUGUGAAUAUGCUGGGGAGCUUCUUGAGGACAAGGAAGCUGAACUAAGAGCAGGAAGUGACGAAUAUUUGUUUGACAUUGGAAAGAAUUACAGCGAGGGUUCAAUCAAUUCCGAUGGAUUAGGAAAUUCAAGCGAAGCUGUAGAAGAAGGUGGCUAUACCAUUGAUGCAGCAAAGUAUGGCAAUAUCGGGAGGUUCAUAAAUCAUAGUUGUUCACCCAACCUUUAUGCUCAGGAUGUGCUCUAUGAUCAUGCUGACAAAAGAGUGCCCCACGUAAUGCUUUUUGCGGCGGACAACAUUCCUCCAUUGCAGGAGCUAACUUACCAUUACAAUUAUGGUGUGGGUCAGGUUCAUGAUUCCAAAGGAAAUAUCAAGGAAAAGAGUUGCUAUUGUGGUUCUACAGAAUGUAUUGGUAGGAUGUAUUAGAAAGCUUCUAGUCGCAGAGAGUUGGGACUACAAAAACUGAAUGACAUUUUGCAUGUUUGAGCUCUCCUUAUAAAUUGUCGUUCUUCUGCCUUCAAAUUUUGGAAACCUGAGUGCUGACCAUCUUGAUGACAAAUUCAGCUUGAUGUAAUGUGCUUCUUUCACGCUCAUAUGGCGGUAAUGAUUGAGUAGGGUUUGAACCCUUGGAUUUUUUAGACCAAGAGAAUGUCGACAUCACUUUGAAGUUGUAUAUUUGACUCUGGUAGUUUUGUAGAAAAGUACCAUAUUUUGAUGUAUAAACAAACGUCUGGUACAUUCUUCUUAUGUACCAUAUUUUGAUGGGUAAACAUCUAGUACAAGGUUGCCGCAAGAAGUGCGACGACGCAUUUAUUUUUUAA